UACAGAGGCCCCAAGCAUUAUCCGGAAUCACUGGGCGUAAAGGGUGUGUAGGCGGUUUUAUUAGUCCUUCGCGAAAGCUCUCGGACUCAAUCCGGGAAACGCGGGGGAAACGGUAUAACUACGAGGACGCGAGAGGUAGAGGGAACUCAUGGUGUAGGGGUGAAAUCCGUUGAUAUCAUGGGGAACACCAAAUGCGAAGGCACUCUACUGGCGCGCUCCUGACGCUGAAACACGAAAGCGUGGGAAUCGAAUGGG
rnacentral:rRNA from 1 species